AUUGAACGCUGGCGGCAUGCCUUACACAUGCAAGUCGAACGGUAACAGGUCUUCGGAUGCUGACGAGUGGCGAACGGGUGAGUAAUACAUCGGAACGUGCCUAGUAGUGGGGGAUAACUACUCGAAAGAGUGGCUAAUACCGCAUGAGAUCUACGGAUGAAAGCAGGGGAUCGCAAGACCUUGUGCUACUAGAGCGGCCGAUGGCAGAUUAGGUAGUUGGUGGGAUAAAAGAUUACCAAGCCGACGAUCUGGAGCUGGUCUGAGAGGACGAUCAGCCACACUGGGACUGAGACACGGCCCAGACUCCUACGGGAGGCAGCAGUGGGGAAUUUUGGACAAUGGGCGCAAGCCUGAUCCAGCAAUGCCGCGUGCAGGAUGAAGGCCUUCGGGUUGUAAACUGCUUUUGUACGGAACGAAAAGCCCCGGGUUAAUACCCUGGGGUCAUGACGGUACCGUAAGAAUAAGCACCGGCUAACUACGUGCCAGCCGCCGCGGUAA
rnacentral:rRNA from 1 species